CGUCGCCGCGGGAAUACGUAGGGUGCAAGCGUUAAUCGGAAUUACUGGGCGUAAAGCGUGCGCAGGCGGUUGUGUAAGACAGGUGUGAAAUCCCCGGGCUUAACCUGGGAACUGCGCUUGUGACUGCACAGCUUGAGUAUGGCAGAGGGGGGUGGAAUUCCACGUGUAGCAGUGAAAUGCGUAGAGAUGUGGAGGAACACCGAUGGCGAAGGCAGCCCCCUGGGCCAAUACUGACGCUCAUGCACGAAAGCGUGGGGAGCAAACAGGAUUAGAUACCCCUGUAGUCCCUGUCUCUUAUACC
rnacentral:rRNA from 1 species